ACAAAAUUAGCUAGCCUGCUAAGGAUAAUGGGAAAUACCACCUAUCUUUUUUUACUGGGACUAGUAGUACAUAUAGUUAGCUUUUAUGAAGGUAAGGCUUGUAAGCAGUUUUGUAAUAUUAUUCACUGAGAAACGGUAUGUUGUCUAUGAAAUUAAACUUAUUUUCCUAGCAUUUUGAUAUAUUUAGAAGGAAAAGCAGCACUAGUUCCUGGGCGAAGUGAAAGGAAUAAUAUAAAUAUGUGUCGCAAAAUAACAAUUGUCGUUACUGCGAUACUGUCCUCGGCAGUGUGCUAUUAACGAAGACGACUCAAAAAUUUAUUUUCACUUGCAAGAUCAAUCUGACUUGUGCAACUAGUUGUAAUUUGACGCAUGGUCUUUGACGGGUUCGUGUUUCUUUUUGUUUACAUAUAUAAUGCUGCCAAUAAAACCAAGAGACAUCGAAAGGUCAACAUACGGUCCUAGACUGGUUCUCUGUUCCUUAUCUGUUUGGCUCUGAGAUACUUGUAUGUUGCAAGCGUACAUCGGGUUCUUAACAGACAUGUCUCUACACCAGAAGUCAAAUUCUUAACUUCCUAAUCGCCAAGACUAAGGCAAGUCGUGAAUUUUAAUAGAAAAAUAAAACAUAUAUCGUCUUUUUUGUUGUUUUAUCAAAUGAUGAAGACGAUACGUGUACCAAAGGUCUAUCAAAAACGAUAAUUCGAACAGACCUCACCGUAGGAAAAACCAAGGAACGAUAUUCCAUAAAAACUCAAGAUUAAGCAACAUGAAUACCAUCAAAUUUCGUUGGUAAACUCACGAAAUUUGGAAUGAUGAUCUGAUUUUGCCCCUCUAUUGUUACUCCGCGUGCUAAUUAACGAAAGUAGAAAUUCGGUAAUAAGUCGUAUUCGGUGUAACAAUCGAGAAAAAUACGACAGGUUUAUUUUUUCGACCAGUGGAAUGUAUCCAUUAAUUGUCAUAUAUGCUAUACAUAGCGUCCGAAAAGACGUUUGAAUGACUGACUUCAAGUUAGUAGUUUGAAACCUUUAAUUUUUUAUUUAGAUUCAAUAGAUUUAUUUUAUGCAGCACCGCCAUUAUAUUAUAUUUCUCGGUUGAUAAUAUAUAUUUAUAUUAAAUUUUAGCUGAUGCAAUAUGUUCGCUAUCAUGUAGCUGGAUUGGAAAAACUUUCAUCAGAGUACAAGAUAAUGCAAACUUCAAAUUCUCAUGUGAAGAUCCUUCUACUUACACGAUGUCUUUAGGAUACGGCAAGACCUCAACAGAGCAAUGCGUGUGGUUGUCAGGUGCUUUUUUGGUCAUAAG
rnacentral:lncRNA from 1 species